rnacentral:rRNA from 1 species
GACGAACGCUGGCGGCGUGCUUAACACAUGCAAGUCGAACGGAAAGGCCCUGCUUGCAGGGUACUCGAGUGGCGAACGGGCGAGUAACACGUGGGUGAUCUGCCCUCAACUUGGGGUUAGGCCGGGGAAACGGGGCCUAUACCCGGAUAGAGGCAUUUUUAGUGGGGUGGGUGGGAAAGUUUUUUCGGUGUAGGUUGAGCUCGCGGCCUAUCAGCUUGUUGGUGGGGUAUUGGCCUACCAAGGCGGCGACGGGUAGCCGGCCUGAGAGGGUGGACGGCCACAUUGGGACUGAGAUACGGCCCAGACUCCUACGGGAGGCAGCAGUGGGGAAUAUUGCACAAUGGGCGCAAGCCUGAUGCAGCGACGCCGCGUGGGGGAUGACGGCCUUCGGGUUGUAAACUCCUUUCGCUAGGGACGAAGCUUUUUGUGACGGUACCUAGAGAAGAAGCACCGGCUAACUACGUG